rnacentral:rRNA from 1 species
CCUACGGGAGGCAGCAGUGGGGAAUAUUGCACAAUGGGGGAAACCCUGAUGCAGCGACGCCGCGUGAGUGAAGAAGUAAUUCGUUAUGUAAAGCUCUAUCAGCAGGGAAGAAAAUGACGGUACUUGAGUAAGAAGCCCCGGCUAACUACGUGCCAGCAGCCGCGAUAAUACGUAGGGGGCAAGCGUUAUCCGGAUUUACUGGGUGUAAAGGGAGCGUAGACGGCAGUGCAAGUCUGGAGUGAAAGGCGGGGGCUCAACCCCCGGACUGCUCUGGAAACUGUACGGCUGGAGUGCAGGAGAGGUAAGUGGAAUUCCUAGUGUAGCGGUGAAAUGCGUAGAUAUUAGGAGGAACACCAGUGGCGAAGGCGGCUUACUGGACUGUAACUGACGUUGAGGCUCGAAAGCGUGGGGAGCAAACAGGAUUAGAUACCCGGGUAGUC